rnacentral:rRNA from 1 species
UAAGGGCGCACGGUGGAUGCCUUGGCACUAGAAGCCGAUGAAGGACGUUACUAACGACGAUAUGCUUUGGGGAGCUGUAAGUAAGCUUUGAUCCAGAGAUUUCCGAAUGGGGAAACCCAGCAUGAGUUAUGUCAUGUUAUCGAUAUGUGAAUACAUAGCAUAUCAGAAGGCACACCCGGAGAACUGAAACAUCUUAGUACCCGGAGGAAGAGAAAGAAAAUUCGAUUCCCUUAGUAGCGGCGAGCGAAACGGGAAGAGCCCAAACCAACAAGCUUGCUUGUUGGGGUUGUAGGACACUCUAUACGGAGUUACAAAGGACGACAUUAGACGAAUCAUCUGGAAAGAUGAAUCAAAGAAGGUAAUAAUCCUGUAGUCGAAAAUGUUGUCUCUCUUGAGUGGAUCCUGAGUACGACGGAGCACGUGAAAUUCCGUCGGAAUCUGGGAGGACCAUCUCCUAAGGCUAAAUACUCUCUAGUGACCGAUAGUGAACCAGUACCGUGAGGGAAAGGUGAAAAGCACCCCGGAAGGGGAGUGAAAUAGAACCUGAAACCGUGUGCUUACAAGUAGUCAGAGCCCGUUAAUGGGUGAUGGCGUGCCUUUUGUAGAAUGAACCGGCGAGUUACGAUUUGAUGCA